GCUGCUGGACCGCCCCCGUUCAGAGGCCGAGAUAGGUGGUCUGCCGUGACUUGAAGGAAGGUGGUGGUCAUCAGAUUAGCCCUGCCGUCCUAACGACGUCCGUGUAGCGUGUACCCUGUGAACGAGCACUAAAAGGCCGAUGCACGCACCUGCUGAAGAGUAGAGGACUGGGCCGGCGCAGCGCGACGGCUGACGCAAAUCAAUUUGUGCGUGGAAGGGGAUUAGGAGGUAGGUGUCUGCUCGUGUGUACGAAGGAAGCAGAAGAAGCGCACGACCGCGACCGCAUCGAGAAGCGACAAUUUGCGCCAUAGACGACCUACUCGUUUAGGAGAGGCCCAAAUAGUAGGCAGCAUGCGUACUAGGACGCGGCAGAGCGGAGCUUGCAAGGACGUGGCUAAGACCAUAGAAAUAGAGAGGAUAUUGAUGAACGUCCGACGCCGACGCCGUUGGAGUCAGUCAGUUGUCGCUUGUAUCGAUGUCAAACGAAGGAAGAAACCAAAAGCUAGCCAGAUGACGCGCGCGCGCAAACACACCUCCUCAAAACAGUACCGGUCCAGUACCGACCGGCCGGACGCCAGAGCCGAGCCGCCGCCGCGGUCCGUCCUGCCCGAGCCGUAGGACCGGAAGCUCCGGCGCCGCCGGUACAGCGCGGACCAGAGCGAGGUGGAGAGCGAGAGGCUGCGCCUCCAGUCCUCCGAGGCGCGGCUGCACGACGCGCGGCUCCCGCAGCGCGCGGAGUGCAGGUGCCUGGUCAGGGCGGACGAGGCGGAGUGCACGCGGCUCGAGUACCGCCCGGAGCUGGCGCGGCGGCUGCUGCGGCGCGCGGAGCCCCGCGCGACGGCGCCCGACGGCCUGCGCGGGAAGGAGGUGUUGAAGCUGGCGCAGAUGCGGCUGCGCUUCGCCCCUCGGCCGGAGCGCGCCGACCUGCGGUGGCAGCCCAAGAGGUCCCCGCGGCCCUUCGCCAAGUUCUUCUACCUCGCCGUGCACCGGCGGUGCCGCUUCGACAUGCGCCUCUACCUGCGCGAGUGGCUCGACCUCCGCAGCCUCGCCGCCUACCUCGUCACCUUCGUCGUGUCGCCCGGGUAGGGGCACGUCAGGAGGUUCGCCGUCGGGCGCCUGCUCGGUUCGCUCUUCGACUACCCGCUCGAGUCCAACGUCGCCGUCUUCCACGCCGCUGAGUGCCUCCCGAGCGAGACCUCGCAGCGGCGGGUGUUCCACCGGUUCGAGUACCGGUUCAGCCACGAGCGGCACGAGCGCGCGCAGAGGGAACGGAAGCCGCGCAAUCACGGCCCUAACGGUGGAGGCAACUGUCCGGCCCCUACCCGCGAGCCGGUGAGCAGACCGGGGUACGUGGUCAGCUGCCGCGGGCUGCGCCGCUAGGCCGUGAGCCGAGGCUAGAAGGCUGUUUUUCUGUGCCGGAGCUGUAGCAGUCUCAGUGAGUUCGGCGGACGCUGGUGGCAGCCGCCGAGCCCCUACCUUGACGCAAUGCGCUUGCACUAGAACAGGCGGCUCUGCGACGAGUUCCACGACUCCGGCCGCUAGGCGUUGCUCCUCCGCGUACUGCCCUACUGCCUCGACCGCUACUCUCUGCUCGACAUGUUCUACGACGGGCACUGGUAUGCGCGCCGUCACUUACUCUUCGACUCCCUCUCCGACUCUCCUCCCGUCCACCUGCUCCUCCGGCGGCGCUGUCGCUACCUGCGGCACCUGCCUCACGACGCCACCAACCCCGGUUACCGCGUACUGUGCGACGCCACCGUCCUGCUCUCCUCGUACCUCGCCUUCGUUGCCAAGUCGUACGUCGGCGCGCGCGGCUACCACGUCUGCGACGUAAAGCGCCUGGCAGCCUUCCGCCUGCGACGGUAGCAGCUCCACGAGCAACCAGAGUCGUCAUACACGACCAUGCUGCUAGUUGCCGCCGCCGGCCGACUGACCUUGCUCAUCGGCCGGACCAGUUGCUGCUACGCGUCGAGUAGUACACAUUUACACAUCUAUGACAUAUGCACAUCCUUUCAGUAAACAUAUGUAGGUGUUCUAGUAACUACCGUGCACAACAACACAGUUAUAUAAAAAGGUUGCUACUUUCUUAAAAAUAUUUAUAUAUCAGUAUUUUGUAUCACCGUGUUUUCGUAAUUUCAAUGUAAACAUAUUUCGCGGAUGUAUAACCUGCUGAUAUUUUCUAAGAUC
rnacentral:rRNA from 1 species